GACGAACGCUGGCGGCGUGCUUAACACAUGCAAGUCGAACGGAAAGGCCCUGCUUUUGUGGGGUGCUCGAGUGGCGAACGGGUGAGUAACACGUGAGUAACCUGCCCUUGACUUUGGGAUAACUUCAGGAAACUGGGGCUAAUACCGGAUAGGAGCUCCUGCUGCAUGUUGGGGGUUGGAAAGUUUCGGCGGUUGGGGAUGGACUCGCGGCUUAUCAGCUUGUUGGUGGGGUAGUGGCUUACCAGGGCUUUGACGGGUAGCCGGCCUGAGAGGGUGACCGGCGACAUUGGGACUGAGAUACGGACCAGACUCCUACGGGAGGCAGCAGGGGGGAAUAUUGCAGAAUGGGCGGAAGCCUGAUGCAGAAACGCUGCGUGCGGGAUGACGGCCUUCGGGUUGUAAACCGCUUUCGCCUGUGACGAAGCGUGAGUGACGGUAAUGGGUAAAGAAGCACCGGCUAACUACGUG
rnacentral:rRNA from 1 species